AAUUAAAAGUAUGAUGAUUCCACUAAAAUGAACAGGUAAGACCUUAUAUUUACUCUGUGUGUGAAUUUACGCCGCAUGAGGAGCACAGUUUUAAGGAAAUCAGUUGACAGCAUCAAUUGACAUAUUUCAACUUAUGAGAAAGCCUGUAAAAAUCCAUAAAUUAGCCGCAAUAUUGUUUAAGCUGCUGUGUUCAAAGUGUGUGGAAAACAGUAGCGGCUUAUAGUACACACAACUAUGGUAUACACAAAAAAAUAAACAGGACAAAUAGUGUAACCAUUUGUCAAUUGGGAGAUAAAGAGCUGUACAUUUUGAUGGAAUAAAAUGAACUAGAUGAUGAAGGUGGCUCCAACAGCUGCUUUCUCUGCACAGCGCACACUCAGGAUGAAUCCAGCACUUUUACAGAAAGUAGUUGCUAAGAU